UACGUAGGGGGCAAGCGUUGGUCCGGAUUUAUUGGGCGUAAAGAGCGUGUAGGCGGCCUGACAGGUCUGCUGUGAAAACUCGAGGCUCAACCUCGAGAUGUCGGCGGAAACCGUCUGGCUAGAGUCCGGGAAGAGGAGAGUGGAAUUCCUGGUGUAGCGGUGGAAAUGCGCAGAUAUCAGGAAGAACACCUAUGGCGAAGGCAGCUCUCUGGGACGGUACUGACGCUGAGACGCGAAAGCGUGGGGAGCGAACAGG
rnacentral:rRNA from 1 species